rnacentral:tRNA from 1 species
CCCUGGUUAGCUCAGUUGGUAGAGCGCUCCACCUGUAAUGGAGAGGUCCCGGGUUCGAUACCCGGCCCAGGCG